rnacentral:rRNA from 1 species
AGGACGAACGCUGGCGGCGUGCCUAAUACAUGCGAGUCGAGCGGACUGAUGGGAGCUUGCUCCCUGAUGUUAGCGGCGGACGGGUGAGUAACACGUGGGCAACCUGCCUGUAAGACUGGGAUAACUCCGGGAAACCGGGGCUAAUACCGGAUAACCCGUUCCACCUCAUGGUGGAGCGGUAAAAGAUGGCCUCUGGCUAUCACUUACAGAUGGGCCCGCGGCGCAUUAGCUAGUUGGUAAGGUAACGGCUUACCAAGGCGACGAUGCGUAGCCGACCUGAGAGGGUGAUCGGCCACACUGGGACUGAGACACGGCCCAGACUCCUACGGGAGGCAGCAGUAGGGAAUCUUCCGCAAUGGACGAAAGUCUGACGGAGCAACGCCGCGUGAGUGAUGAAGGUUUUCGGAUCGUAAAGCUCUGUUGUUAGGGAAGAACAAGUGCCGUUUGAAUAAGGCGGCACCUUGACGGUACCUAACCAGAAAGCCACGGCUAACUACGUGCCAGCAGCCGCGGUAAUACGUAGGUGGCAAGCGUUGUCCGGAAUUAUUGGGCGUAAAGCGCGCGCAGGCGGUCUCUUAAGUCUGAUGUGAAAGCCCACGGCUCAACCGUGGAGGGUCAUUGGAAACUGGGAGACUUGAGUACAGAAGAGGAGAGUGGAAUUCCACGUGUAGCGGUGAAAUGCGUAGAUAUGUGGAGGAACACCAGUGGCGAAGGCGACUCUCUGGUCUGUAACUGACGCUGAGGCGCGAAAGCGU